rfam:Ictidomys tridecemlineatus contig059883, whole genome shotgun sequence.
GGGGAUGUAGCUCAGUUGGUGGAGUGCUUUCUUUGCAUGCACUAAGGCCCUGGGUUCAAUCCCCAGCACCACCA